rnacentral:rRNA from 1 species
CCUACGGGAGGCAGCAGUCGAGAGGCUUCGGCAAUGGGGGAAACCCUGACCGAGCGACGUCGCGUGGGUGAUGAAGAUUCUUGGAUCGUAAAACCCUGUCAGGCGGGAUGAAAUGCCAUUAGGUCAAUAGCCUAGUGGCUUGACAGUACCGCCAGAGGAAGCUCCGGCCAACUCCGUGCCAGCAGCCGCGGUAACACGGGGGGAGCAAGCGUUGUUCGGAAUCAUUGGGCGUAAAGAACUCGUAGGCGGCUCCGUAAGUCAGGGGUGAAAUCCAAUGGCUCAACCAUUGUCACGCCUCUGAAACUACGGAACUUGAGUUCAGGAGAGGAAAGCGGAAUUCCAGGUGUAGCGGUGAAAUGCGUAGAUAUCUGGAGGAACACCGGUGGCGAAGGCGGCUUUCUGGCCUGAAACUGACGCUGAGGAGCGAAAGCCAGGGGAGCGAACGGGAUUAGAUACCCCGGUAGUCCUGGCCGUAAACGAUGGGCACUAGGUGUGGGGAGAUCGACCCUUUCCGUGCCGCAGUUAACGCAUUAAGUGCCCCGCCUGGGGAGUACGACCGCAAGGUUGAAACUCAAAGGAAUUGACGG